GACACUCUUGGUUGAUUAUUUACAGUUG
rnacentral:sRNA from 1 species